rnacentral:piRNA from 1 species
UCACACUUCCUCACGAAACUUCAGUGCUGC